UACCGGCAAAAAACACAUACAACUUUCAUGCAUUUGAACCAAUAUCCAAAAUCAUAAGGUUCUAUGUUAUUAAAAAUUCAACAUAGAACCCUUUGCCUAAUUUGUCUCAUACAAAAAACAAAUACUUUUUUUAAGUUACAUGCAACUAUUUUGCACUAAAUUGUUCAACAUGGAACCCUAUGGCAUUGAACACCAUUUGAAUGAAACGAAAAGUUCUAUGUAUUAGUUGUUAUAUUAGUAUUAUUUUCAUUGUGAUUUUUGUGUCUCGAUUGAUGAGAAAGUUUAGGGUAGGUUAGCGUUAGGUUCGGUUAUAGUGGCUGUCCAAGAUGGAAACGGGGACACACUUAGGCCAGUUUAAUGGCCCAUUAUGAUACCACAUGAAUCUUGAGGCUUCCUCCUAAGCUCAAUGGAACCAGCUUGAGUCCCUUACGAAACGUGAGAGGCUGAUUAUACCGAUAUGAUUUAGAUCGUUAAAGAAGAAUUCUCCUAGGUAAUUCUUGCGUUUAAAACGAAGGUAAAUAUUAUUGGUUUUUUAAUGUUAAACCAUUUUUAAACAUUAAAAAGAAAAAUAGUUACUGUGCAAGUACAUUAUGUCAGAACAAGGAUCAAUAGACGAACUUUAUGAAAAGUAUUUGGACGUAAUACUCUCUUUGCCAGGUUCAUCUACGGGUUACAGGCGUCCCUCUAGCCAGAACAAUGAUAUUUCGCGUAGGUUAUUAUGAAUUUAUCAAACGAAUUGUUUGCCUUGAUUUAGAUAUUUUAGUUUAAUUAGAGACUAAUUUCAGAGAUACAAAUAAACCCUGAAAAUAUCAUUUUGUUGGAAGCCCAUGAUGCUGAAGAAAUUGAAGUUUUAGAAAGCAGUCCUUCAGUUCGGAAAAGACUGAGAAAUGAAAAAAAUUGGAAGCGGGAUCAAAUAAAAAGACUACGACAGGAAGGGAAAGCUUAUACGAAUUCCUCGAACAAAUUCGUUCCAGCUAAGCAAAUAAAACCUAUCGUCGUAACCUCCUGUCGAGAUUGCCCGUUUAUGUGCAUCAAAGAAGAAGAUCGUUGGGCAAUAUUUGAGUCGUACUAUUCUUUGGACGCAUUUUUUUAUCGAGCUUCACCGAACUUGAUGUACCUCACAUCCGGCGCAAAUGAAAAGUAACGACCAAUUCUAAGAAAUAAAUUUCUUUCAAAUACUUUUUCAACAUAAGAGAGAUUCGUUUUCGGGUAUGUGAAAAAUUUUUCUUGUCCACUUUGGAUAUUAUUCAAAGCCCAUUUAUAACGUCCAUGACCAAAAAAAUGCUGUGAGUGGGGUUCCUCGGCAAACAACACAGGGAAAACAUCAAAAAUGUCGAGUCUCCGAGCAAAAAUUCGAUUCCCUACCGUUCAAUCACACUACUGCAGACGUGAUUCUAAAAAAACAAUACAUAGACUCGAGUUUAAAUAUUCAAGCAAUGUGGAGGAUCUUCAUAGAAGAGGCCUGUUGUGAAGAGGAAGAGGCAGUUAAAAGCCACGUCUACCGCAGAAUAUUUGAACGAGAGUUCAACAUCUCUUUUUUUAAACCUAAAAAGGACAGAUGUGACCUCUGUGAGGAAUUUCAAGUCACUUCAAGUUCGAGCAACAUAAUAUUGGAAGAAUUCAAAUCAAAAUAUGAGGCACAACAAUUACAAAAACAAAAAUCGAGAGAAACUCGACAGUUGGACAGAACAUCAUCGACUCCAGUCAUAUGUUUUGAUCUUCAAAAUGUCCUUUCUUGUCCUAAGGCCGAAGUUUCAUUUUUGUACCAUUCAAAGCUAAAUAAUUAUAGUCUCACUGCCCAUCUGUCCACUAAUAAUAUGGUCUACUGCGCUUUGUGGGCGAGAAUUUAAUGGGAAGAAGUGACAAUGAUUUGGCCAGUGCCAUAAUAAAAAUUUUUGGAGCGGGUCAUUAAAGAUAACCAGCAUUUUACUCACUUGAUUCUCUGGUCCGAUUCUUGUGUUCCGCAGAACACGAACUCCAUUAUGUCAUUUGCUUUGUUAACUUUAUAAAAACGCACCCACAAAUAAUAAAAAUAACACUCCGCUUCUGUGUACCUGGCCAUUCGUGCAUACAAGAAAUCGAUUUAGUACACAGCGUGAUUGAGAGAAAUUUAAGAAGGUUCGAGUAUUACUCGCCGAAUUCUCUUAUUCGCAUAUUACCAAAAAUUACCUACAAAAGACAAAAAUUGAUUGUCAUGCAGAUGGGACCUUCGGACUUCAAAAACUAUCAGGUUUGCUCCAAAACGUUUUACUUUAAAUCAAUACCUUUCACAAAAGUAUGUGAAAUCGAAUUUUCGACUAAUAUUUUAACGGUUGGGUUUAAAACUAGUUUUUACCAAGAAAGUUAUGAUUAUAUAAAUUUAAAGUACGACAAGCCUCCAAGAAAAUCAUAUGCAAACAAAACUUUGGUUCCCGAAUUUCCAAUUCCUGAAUGAGAAAAAAGAAAGAACAAAUUGUCUGAAGCUAAAAUAAAAUUAUUUAUUGCAAUGCUUUCCUUUAUGCCAAAGGUUUGAUUUCUUCGAAAACUUAAUUUCGAAA